GGCCUGUGGGUUGUAAACCUCUUUUCUCAGGGAAGAAGUUCUGACGGUACCUGAGGAAUCAGCAUCGGCUAACUCCGUGCCAGCAGCCGCGGUAAGACGGAGGAUGCAAGCGUUAUCCGGAAUUAUUGGGCGUAAAGCGUCCGUAGGUGGUUAUAAAAGUCUGUUGUUAAAGCUCACAGCUCAACUGUGAAUCGGCAAUGGAAACUGUAUGACUAGAGUGUGGUAGGGGUAGAGGGAAUUCCUAGUGUAGCGGUGAAAUGCGUAGAUAUUAGGAAGAACACCAGUGGCGAAGGCGCUCUACUGGGCCAUAACUGACACUGAUGGACGAAAGCUAGGGGAGCGAAAGGGAUUAGAUACCCCUGUAGUCCUAGCUGUAAACGAUGGACACUAGGUGUUGGCCGUAUCGACCCGGUCAGUAUCGAAGCAAACGCGUUAAGUGUCCCGCCUGGGGAGUACGCACGCAAGUGUGAAACUCAAAGGAAUUGACGGGGGCCCGCACAAGCGGUGGAGUAUGUGGUUUAAUUCGAUGCAACGCGAAGAACCUUACCAGGGAUUGACAUCCUACGAAUCUUCUUGAAAGAGAAGAGUGCCUUCGGGAACGUAGAGACAGGUGGUGCAUGGCUGUCGUCAGCUCGUG
rnacentral:rRNA from 1 species